rnacentral:rRNA from 1 species
UACAGAGGUCUCGAGCGUUGUUCGGAUUCAUUGGGCGUAAAGGGCGCGUAGGCUGCGGGGCAAGUCGGGUGUGAAAUCUCAGAGCUCAACUCUGAAACUGCACUCGAUACUGCUUUGCUUGAGGACUGGAGAGGAGAUUGGAAUUCACGGUGUAGCAGUGAAAUGCGUAGAUAUCGUGAGGAAGACCAGUGGCGAAGGCGGAUCUCUGGACCGAUACUGACGCUGAGGAGCGAAAGCGUGGGGAGCGAACAGG